rnacentral:rRNA from 1 species
AGAACGAACGCUGGCGGCAUGCCUAACACAUGCAAGUCGAACGCUUCACCGGUUUCGGCCGGUGGGGAGUGGCGCACGGGUGAGUAGCGCGUGGGAACCUGCCCUGUUGUGGGGGAUAACCGAGGGAAACUUCGGCUAAUACCGCAUAAGCCGGUUGUCUUGAAAGAGAUGGCCGGGAAAGAUUUAUCGCGACAGGAGGGGCCCGCGUCGGAUUAGCUAGUUGGUGGGGUAACGGCCCACCAAGGCUGUGAUCCGUAGCUGGUCUGAGAGGAUGAUCAGCCACACUGGGACUGAGACACGGCCCAGACUCCUACGGGAGGCAGCAGUGGGGAAUAUUGGACAAUGGGCGCAAGCCUGAUCCAGCAAUGCCGCGUGAGUGAUGAAGGCCUUAGGGUUGUAAAGCUCUUUCGCCCGCGACGAUGAUGACGGUAGCGGGAGAAGAAGCCCGGCUAACUUCGCGCCAGCAGCCGCGGUAA